UACAGAGGUGGCAAGCGUUGUUCGGAAUUACUGGGCGUAAAGGGCGCGUAGGCGGUUCGUCAAGUCCUGUGUGAAAUCCCCCGGCUCAACUGGGGAACUGCACAGGAAACUAGCGGGCUUGAGUUCGGGAGAGGGAAGCAGAAUUCCGGGUGUAGCGGUGAAAUGCGUAGAUAUCCGGAGGAACACCGGUGGCGAAGGCGGCUUCCUGGACCGACACUGACGCUGAGGUGCGAAAGCGUGGGGAGCAAACAGG
rnacentral:rRNA from 1 species